AUUUCAAGGUGCAGUAGAAUUCU
rnacentral:piRNA from 1 species